GACGAGCCACACGAACGUUAUUCGGAAUUACUGGGCUUAAAGGGUGCGUAGGCGGCGCGGUAAGUUGGGUGUGAAAUCCCUCGGCUCAACCGAGGAACUGCGCCCAAAACUACCGUGCUCGAGGAAGAUAGAGGUGAGCGGAACUUACGGUGGAGCGGUGAAAUGCGUUGAUAUCGUAAGGAACACCCGUGGCGAAAGCGGCUCACUGGGUCUUCUCUGACGCUGAUGCACGAAAGCUAGGGGAGCAAACGGG
rnacentral:rRNA from 1 species